CCCCAGUCCGCGGUCAGCGUCGAGAACGGGUUGCUGCCUGCGCUCCAGUACCGCCGGCACAUAAAGUUCCAGGUGACGACAAUGCGUCUACCCUCGAAGAGGAAGGGGGAGCAUCAGCACCAUAGCAGCCUACCAACGCCGAUCCGCUGCCACCACUAGAGCCGAUGGACACACAGCCCAGCAGAGACGCAUCGUUUGUAUCAGACCAACAUAGAAUUACAUCUCCAGAAGAUGAACUAUGUGCAAAAACUACAGUUAAGUCUC